rnacentral:misc_RNA from 1 species
GAUGAAGAACGCAGCGAAAUGCGAUAAGUAAUGUGAAUUGCAGAAUUCAGUGAAUCAUCGAAUCUUUGAACGCACAUUGCGCCCCUUGGUAUUCCGAGGGGCAUGCCUGUUCGAGCGUCAUUACACCACUCAAGCUAUGCUUGGUAUUGGGCGUCGUCCUUAGUUGGGUGCGCCUUAAAGACCUCGGCGAGGCCACUCCGGCUUUAGGCGUAGUAGUAUUUAUUCGAACGUCUGUCAAAGGAGAGGAACUCUGCCGACUGAAACCUUUAUUUUUCUAGGUUGACCUCGGAUCAGGUAGGGAUACCCGCUGAACUUAAGCAUAUCAAUAAGCGGAGGA